rnacentral:pre_miRNA from 1 species
UGGCAGUGUAUUGUUAGCUGGCUGAACAUUGGAAGGACACCAGCUGACAUUCAGCUGCCAGC